GUAAACGAUGGACACUCGCUUUUGGCGAUAUACGGUCAGGAGCCAAGUGAAAACGUUAAGUGUCCCACCUGGGGAGUACGCCGGCAACGGUGAAACUCAAAGGAAUUGACGGGGGCCCGCACAAGCGGAGGAACAUGUGGUUUAAUUCGAUGAUACGCGAGGAACCUUACCCGGGCUUGAACUGCUCCCGAAUGUGUACGAAAGUAUACAGCCAGCAAUGGCGGGAGCGGAGGUGCUGCAUGGUUGUCGUCAGCUCGUGCCGUGAGGUGUCGGCUCAAGUGCCAUAACGAGCGCAACCCUUGCCUACAGUUACUAACGGAUCAUGCCGAGGACUCUGUAGGGACUGCCAUCGCAAGAUGUGAGGAAGGUGGGGAUGACGUCAAAUCAGCACGGCCCUUACGUCCGGGGCUACACACGUGUUACAAUGGGGGGUACAGCAGGAAGCUUCAGCGCGAGUUGUGGCAGAUCGUCAAAACCCCUCUCAGUUCGGAC
rnacentral:rRNA from 1 species